rnacentral:rRNA from 1 species
UACGGAGGGGGCUAGCGUUGUUCGGAAUUACUGGGCGUAAAGCGCACGUAGGCGGCUUUGUAAGUUAGAGGUGAAAGCCCAGGGCUUAACCCUGGAAUUGCCUUUAAGACUGCAUCGCUAGAAUUGUGGGAGAGGUAAGUGGAAUUCCGAGUGUAGAGGUGAAAUUCGUAGAUAUUCGGAAGAACACCAGUGGCGAAGGCGGACUUACUGGACACAUAUU